rnacentral:misc_RNA from 1 species
AACCUAGCACACCUGCGGUGUGUACCUGCGGAAGGAUCAUUAUUGAAUUUAAUGUAGAGUUGGUUGUAGCUGGCCUGAUUUAUUUUUUAAAAAAUUAUCUUGGGCAUGUGCACACCUUCUCUUUCAUCCACACACACCUGUGCACCUGUGAGACAGAUGUGGGGACUUAAUUGGACCCCUCUGUCUACUUAAUUCACACAAACUCAAUUUAUUUUAAAAUGAAUGUAAUUGAUGUAACAC